CUCCAAUAUUAGGCUAUGGUGACAUAAAACCAUAGAAGAAUAGGGCUACAUUAGGGCUACCUGCGACAAAUGUACUAACUUGACGCCUACCAGUGACGUCGAAGCCUCGACGGUUUGUUACAAGCUCCCUAACUGUCGUGAACUGUGUCUAUUGCCUAAUAGUUGACAUAUCGUCGAUUCAGGAUCAAAC